UACGGGGGGGGCAAGCGUUGUUCGGAAUUACUGGGCGUAAAGGGCUCGUAGGCGGCCAACUAAGUCAGACGUGAAAUCCCCCGGCUUAACCUGGGAACUGCGUCUGAUACUGGACGGCUUGAGUAUGGGAGAGGGAUGUAGAAUUCCAGGUGUAGCGGUGAAAUGCGUAGAUAUCUGGAGGAAUACCGGUGGCGAAGGCGGCAUCCUGGACCAUUACUGACGCUGAGGCGCGAAAGCGUGGGGAGCAAACAGG
rnacentral:rRNA from 1 species